GUAGCUUUCGGCGGUAUAUAUACUGAAAUUGGACGGAUACAUAGAAGAUCAGCAGGGCCCCUGCGCAAGAAUGACACAUAAAACCGUGAAGCGGUAGCUCAACAU